ACGUCCGAAAAUAUCUGCCCAAGGACGCGUGGAAUAAUGCUAAAAACGCACAGAUCCGUUCUGGCAGCUGUUGCUCUCGAUUAAAAAACACGCGGCGUGUAAACACAGCGCUAGUCGUGCGAUCGCGCCGUUGACAGGAAGAGAGGACGACAAUUUCACCAUUACUCGGAAUAAACGAGGCCACGCUGUUUUAUUUCGGACACGAAUUCAGGAGGAACGAGAGUCCGACGACGGAGAAAGAAGGAGAAAACGAUUACAUUUCUUCCCCGCCAUUGCUGCAGAUCGAUUAAAAACGUCGCUCGAGUGUUUUCCAGCGGAAUAUCUUUUUGACGCGGAACCUAUCGCGGGAUCAACGACAGCGAUAUACGAGGCGAGGAGCCAGGCCAUUCACUCGGUGGCGGAGGUGGCGACGUCGGCGCGCGCUCAUCCGACCAAUUUCACGCUCGCCUUUUCCGCCAGCCGGAAGGGAAGCCGCUCUUCCCUCUUCUUCUCUUCAAGCCCGAGACGACUCCGCGGAUCCAGGAAGUAGGUCGUCCUCGUCAGUGGCGCUUCAAAGGUCGAGCGAUAUCCACACGGUGGAUUCGCGAGGAACGGAGGCAUUACCCUUCGACCACCGUGGGGACCAUCCAACCGUGCGCGAAAGAGCACCGACCUUCUUCCCUUCUCUUCUUUCUCAUCAUCGUCUUCUUCUCAUUCCUUCUUCACAUCCGCUUCUUCCUACGCUUCUUCUUCGAUUUCAUUCCGUUCUUCGAGUAUCGUCGUAAUGAAAGCGCAUCAGCACGGCGGAGCUCUUUCGAGCAUGCGGAUAUCGCGUGUCUGCUGAGAACUUGCGGUGUCGAAAAUUCAAGAGAACGCGACCUGUUUUGUCCGCGCAGGAAGCGAUGUUGCUUUUCUUCCCGGAGAGUUAAUCAUUUUCGAAGAGAGAGAGAAAGAAAGAGAGGAUGAAAAAGGACCCCGACAUCGCGAUUGAAUUAACGGCGAAAACAACUGCGGCGCUCCCACAUUAUGCUCUUUGAAAUUUUCAUGUAAUUUGCAUGUACAUCGAUGACAAGCGAUGGACAUUAUACUCGACAAAAUGAUGAUGUCAAGCGAACCACGCGGUAAGAAGGCAACGUAUUCCAACCCAACGCGACGCGGUAACGUUAUUUCAAUAAACGGCCACUUGAAUAAUACAGUUGCAUCGCGUCCGGAACAUUUAAAAUGCGAGUGGGACGAUAGUGUAGCGCUGUAUUUCCGCGACGAAGUAGUAUCCGCUUGAUGUCAUUUUCAGAUGAAAAUGUUGCGCGUACGCAUAACGAGUAUUGACGAAGCUUCAGCCGUGACAGAACAGUCGUGUGUACCUGUUUAUUGGAAAAUCCACGCAUUCGCGGAGCGCGAUGAGGGCCCGGAUGAUAAAACGUGCGAUAUAGCUAUCUUGUAGAUCCAGAUGGACAAGUGUUCGUACGACUCUACUUCUUACGCGAUAUGUAAAGAUUGUUAUGUGUGCUUCACAUGACAUUUAAAUUCAUCACAUAGAAAGUAUGACGAGGGAGAAAUAUAUUUAAAAAAUUAUCAAAAUUUACUCAGUGUGUCUUAUGUGAAAUGUAAAAUCGAAGAGUAUAUGAUAAAUUUGUAUUUAGUAAA